rnacentral:tRNA from 1 species
CCGCCCUUAGCUCAGCUGGAUAGAGCGCGCUCCUCCUAAGAGCGAGGUCGCAGGUUCAAAUCCUGCAGGGCGGACCA